rnacentral:pre_miRNA from 1 species
UGGUCAAGUUUAAUAUAUAUUGUCCAAUCUAUUGAAGUACUAGCACACCAGCUCAAUCUAAUGAGCUGAUGUGGGUGAGUAGUUCAAUAGAUUGGACUUUAUAUAUUAAACUUGAUUAA